rnacentral:rRNA from 1 species
UGCUCCCUGAGAUCAGCGGCGGACGGGUGAGUAACACGUGGGUAACCUGCCUGUAAGACUGGGAUAACUCCGGGAAACCGGGGCUAAUACCGGAUAAUUUAGUUCCUCGCAUGAGGAACUGUUGAAAGGUGGCUUCGGCUACCACUUACAGAUGGACCCGCGGCGCAUUACCUAGUUGGUGACGUAACGGCUCACCAAGGCAACGAUGCAUAGCCGACCUGAGAGGGUGAUCGGCCACACUGGGACUGAAACACGGCCCAUACUCCUACGGGAGGCAGCAGUAGGGAAUCUUCCGCAAUGGACCAAAGUCUGACGGACCAACACCGCGUGAGUGAAAAAGGUUUUCGGAUCGUAAAACUCUGUUGUUAGGGAACAACAAGUGCCGUUCGAAUAGGGCGGCACCUUGACGGUACCUAACCAGAAAGCCACGGCUAACUACGUGCCAGCAGCCGCGGUAAUACAUAGGUGGCAAGCGUUGUCCGGAAUUAUUGGGCGUAAAGCGCGCCCAGGUGGUUUCUUAAGUCUGAUGUGAAAGCCCACGGCUCAACCGUGGAGGGUCAUUGGAAACUGGGGAACUUGAGUGCAUAAGAAGAAAGUGGAAUUCCAAGUGUAGCGGUGAAAUGCAUAUAUGUUUGGAGGAACACCAGUGGCGAAGGCGACUUUCUGGUCUGUAACUGACACUGAGGCGCGAAAGCGUGGGGAGCAAACAGGAUUAUAUACCCUGGUAGUCCACGCCGUAAACGAUGACU